GGGGACUCCGAGUGUGAAGGCAUAGAGCCUUCACUUUUGUACACCGUAAGGUGGUGUACGAAUAAGGACUGGGCAAGACCGGUGCCAGCCGCCGCGGUAAUACCGGCAGUCCGAGUGAUGGCCGAUCUUAUUGGGCCUAAAGCGUCCGUAGCUGGCUAGACAAGUCCGUUGGGAAAUCUGCCCGCUUAACGGGCAGGCGUCCAGCGGAAACUGUCUAGCUUGGGACCGGAAGACCUGAGGGGUACGUCUGGGGUAGGAGUGAAAUCCUGUAAUCCUGGACGGACCGCCGGUGGCGAAAGCGCCUCAGGAGAACGGAUCCGACAGUGAGGGACGAAAGCUAGGGUCUCGAACCGGAUUAGAUACCCGGGUAGUCCUAGCUGUAAACGAUGUCCGCUAGGUGUGGCGCAGGCUACGAGCCUGCGCUGUGCCGUAGGGAAGCCGAGAAGCGGACCGCCUGGGAAGUACGUCUGCAAGGAUGAAACUUAAAGGAAUUGGCGGGGGAGCACUACAACCGGAGGAGCCUGCGGUUUAAUUGGACUCAACGCCGGACAUCUCACCAGCCCCGACAGUAGUCAUGACGGUCAGGUUGAUGACCUUACCCGACGCUACUGAGA
rnacentral:rRNA from 1 species